AGCGAACGCUGGCGGCAGGCUUAACACAUGCAAGUCGAGCGGGCACUUCGGUGUCAGCGGCAGACGGGUGAGUAACACGUGGGAACGUACCCUUUGGUUCGGAAUAACGCUGGGAAACUAGCGCUAAUACCGGAUACGCCCUUUUGGGGAAAGGCUUGCUGCCGAAGGAUCGGCCCGCGUCUGAUUAGCUAGUUGGUGGGGUAAUGGCCUACCAAGGCGACGAUCAGUAGCUGGUCUGAGAGGAUGAUCAGCCACACUGGGACUGAGACACGGCCCAGACUCCUACGGGAGGCAGCAGUGGGGAAUAUUGGACUAUGGGCGCAAGCCUGAUCCAGCCAUGCCGCGUGAGUGAUGAAGGCCUUAGGGUUGUAAAGCUCUUUUGUCCGGGACGAUAAUGACGGUACCGGAAGAAUAAGCCCCGGCUAACUUCGUG
rnacentral:rRNA from 1 species